CUGGUCUCAAAUCAGGUAGGACUACCCGCUGAACUUAAGCAUAUCAAUAAGCGGAGGAAAAGAAACUAACAAGGAUUCCCUUAGUAACGGCGAGUGAACCGGGAAAAGCUCAAAUUUGUAAUCUGGCUGUCUUCGAUAGUCCGAGUUGUAAUCUAUAGACGUGUUUUCCGUGCUGGACCGUAUCUAAGUCCCUUGGAACAGGGUAUCAAAGAGGGUGACAAUCCCGUGCUUGAUACGACCACCAGUGCUCUGUGAUACACGUUCUACGAGUCGAGUUGUUUGGGAAUGCAGCUCAAAAUGGGUGGUAAAUUCCAUCUAAAGCUAAAUAUUGGCGAGAGACCGAUAGCGAACAAGUACCGUGAGGGAAAGAUGAAAAGCACUUUGGAAAGAGAGUUAAACAGUACGUGAAAUUGUUGAAAGGGAAACGAUUGAAGUCAGUCGUGUUCUUCAGAUUCAGCUGGUUCUUCCAGUCUACUUCUGUGGAACGGGUCAACAUCAGUUUUGUCCGGUGGAUAAAGGUAGUAGGAAUGUGACUCCCCCGGGAGUGUUAUAGCCUAUUAUUGCAUACACUGGGUGAGACUGAGGACUGCAGCUCGCCUUUUGGCCGGUCUUCGGACACGUUCGAGCUUAGGAUGUUGACAUAAUGGCUUUAAACGAC
rnacentral:rRNA from 1 species